UGGUACGUUCAGUGUCUGGCAAGGGCGGC
rnacentral:piRNA from 1 species